rnacentral:rRNA from 1 species
AGUGGGGAAUUUUGGACAAUGGGGGAAACCCUGAUCCAGCCAUGCCGCGUGCGGGAAGAAGGCCUUCGGGUUGUAAACCGCUUUUGUCAGGGAAGAAAUCCUUUGGGCUAAUACCCCGGGGGGAUGACGGUACCUGAAGAAUAAGCACCGGCUAACUACGUGCCAGCAGCCGCGGUAAUACGUAGGGUGCAAGCGUUAAUCGGAAUUACUGGGCGUAAAGCGUGCGCAGGCGGUUGUGCAAGACAGAUGUGAAAUCCCCGGGCUUAACCUGGGAACUGCAUUUGUGACUGCACGGCUAGAGUGCGGCAGAGGGGGAUGGAAUUCCGCGUGUAGCAGUGAAAUGCGUAGAUAUGCGGAGGAACACCGAUGGCGAAGGCAAUCCCCUGGGCCUGCACUGACGCUCAUGCACGAAAGCGUGGGGAGCAAA